GACGAACGCUGGCGGCGUGCCUAAUACAUGCAAGUAGAACGCACAGUUUAUACCGUAGCUUGCUACAACAUAGACUGUGAGUUGCGAACGGGUGAGUAACGCGUAGGUAACCUGCCUGGUAGCGGGGGAUAACUAUUGGAAACGAUAGCUAAUACCGCAUAAUAUUAAUUAUUGCAUGAUAAUUAAUUGAAAGGUGCAAUUGCACCACUACCAGAUGGACCUGCGUUGUAUUAGCUAGUAGGUGAGGUAACGGCUCACCUAGGCGACGAUACAUAGCCGACCUGAGAGGGUGAUCGGCCACACUGGGACUGAGACACGGCCCAGACUCCUACGGGGGGCAGCAGUAGGGAAUCUUCGGCAAUGGACGAAAGUCUGACCGAGCAACGCCGCGUGAGUGAAGAAGGUUUUCGGAUCGUAAAGCUCUGUUGUAAGAGAAGAACGGGUGUGAGAGCGGAAAGUUCACACUGUGACGGUAUCUUACCAGAAAGGGACGGCUAACUACGUG
rnacentral:rRNA from 1 species